rnacentral:misc_RNA from 1 species
GUGAUGACUUCAUAGUGGUAAUCUUCAUAUCUAACACAUGCAAUUAUUAAUUAAUUUCUUAAGUUCUUAGUGAUGAUGAUGCCUAUAUAGAUUUCAGCGUACAUUAUUUUUCUAGGUAAGGAACUUUGAAAGUUUACUUAAAAAUAUUCAUUGAGCACAGAAAUAUGCAAACUGUUCAAAACCUUGAGCUUCAAAUGGAAGCGAAGCAGUUCUACAAAGUUCUAUCAAUGUUUCUAACAGACAUCUCUUACACCCUCCUUUCAAGUUCAAAAGGAAACUAGUUGACUAGCUAUCUUCAGUCCUCUAUUUGUUCUAUUUUCUCUGCUCAACUUCUCAAGUUCUCUUCCUCUUUGUUUUCGCUUGGUCUUCUGGUUUAGGCAAGUCUUCUAAAUUUAUCCCUUUACAGCGUGAUUCAAGUAAUUUAUGGGUUGAAACUUGAAACCCACAUCUACAAGUCUACAACAUUUUCCCCCUCUUAUGUUACUGUUUUCAGCCUUUGUUUAAGUUAUUGUACCAUCUACUAGCAAGGACAGCUCUGACUUUUGAAGCCCAUUACAUAUUUUUACUUAAACCUACAAUUGAUUCUGGCAAAACCUACAAUUGAUUCUGGCAGAACCACCUCUACUUCAGUUUCAAUACACAUCCAAGCAGGUGAAUGGCCCCUAUUUCUGUCAUUUAAUCACUAAAUAGAGGCACAUGAACCAUUAGAAAUUUUUUUCCCAACAAAUUUUCAGAUCAAAAUUGCAGCUUCAAGCUAUAAGUCUAAUAUUAUUGCCUGUGGACCACUGUAAUUUCAUAAAUUAAGAAAUAUUUUAUUAUGGCAUUUUCUUACUUUCCAAGUUGAAUCUGAAUUUCUGAUUGGCUUAAAAAAAAUUCAUAGGAUGC